rnacentral:misc_RNA from 1 species
AGCAGCCGCGGUAAUUCCAGCUCCAAUAGCGUAUAUUAAAGUUGUUGCAGUUAAAAGCUCGUAGUUGAAUUUCGGGGUUAGUAGGUUGGUCAUGCCUCUGGUAUGUACUGGUCUCACUGAUUCCUCCUUCCUGAUGAACCUUAAUGCCAUUAAUUUGGUGUUUUGGGGAAUUUGGACUAUUACUUUGAAAAAUUAGAGUGUUUAAAGCAAGCUAACGCUUGAAUACAUUAGCAUGGAAUAAUGAAAUAGGACGUUCGAUCCUAUUUUGUUGGUUUCUAGGAUUGACGUAAUGAUUAAUAGGGAUAGUUGGGGGCAUUAGUAUUCAAUUGUCAGAGGUGAAAUUCUUGGAUUUAUUGAAGACUAACUACUGCGAAAGCAUUUGCCAAGGAUGUUUUCAUUAAUCAAGAACGAAAGUUAGGGAUCGAAGACGAUCAGAUACCGUCGUAGUCUUAACCAUAAACUAUGCCGACUAGGGAUCGGAUGAUGUUAAUUUUUAAUGUACUCAUUCGGCGUCCGUUAC